CAUACACUCAUCUCUGGUGCCAUUCAGGGGAAGCCGCCCAGAUCUCUUCCCUGAAUUAUGGCAAUGCCCUCAAAUCAGUUUCUCUGCUAUUCUCGGCCUUUCCUAAGACCGGUUCUCUAUUUCUCAGCCAGGGGGGUCCUUUUAAAACAUGCAUCAGAAUGUUCAACUCCUGAUUCGUACCUUUCGAUGUCAUCCCAUCUUGCUUAGGAUUUUUCCCUAUUCCUUGCCGUGGCUUACGAGGUCCCCAGUACGUGAUCUAGCUCUUACCUACCUCUCACCUUCAUUUGCUCUGAUCUGGCCACACCAGCCCUUCUGUUCCUCAGGUCCUCCAAGUAUAUGUCCCCUCAGCAUGAUCUUUACAUCAGCUGUUCCUCUGUGAGAAAAGUUAUUUCUAAACUGUCCUCCUACCCCUAAUCUUGGCACGGCUAGCUCUUUGUUUCUUGAAUGUGAGGAUUUUCCUGGCCACACAAACUGCCUGGUUUGGUCUAGUACCUCACUGCAUCCUCUUGUUUCCACAGCACUUCGAGUUCUGUCUCUGGUUGCUAGAGCAGGGAAGGAUUGGUCCCCUGCUCUUACCUCUAGGACUUAGAACGGUGCCUGGCAUGUGGCAAUCACUCAGCUCUUUGUGGAGAAUAGAACAGAUCUCAGGUCUGUGGGCUCUAGACUUCCUGUCCUGCCAGGGUCAGGGGCCCCUGCAGUGGUGCCCUGGCUCUGCCAGCCUACAGCUGAGGGUGCCAGACUCUUCAGGUGCCUGGGUGUUCUUGAACACCCAUUCUGAAAUGCAAGGUACAUUGGACUCAGAGCUCUCUCCCUUGACUAUGACUUGGGCAAGUUGUUUUUAGGACUCCAGCAGAGGCUCAGAUGAAACAGAUGCUGACUGAGGCUUAGCUUUGCUGAGAGAAGUUGAGCCAUGUGUGGCCCACGUGCCCAGUCUCCCCUGGCCCUCCCCACGGGCCUGUUUCCCCAGGUGGGGUUUUACCUGGAGCCACCUGCCCAGGCAGCCGGGGUCCUCAUAGACAGCUGUCACCUGGCUGUUACUCUCCUUGCUCAGCUCUGUCACCAUGUUCACAAAACCCUGCACCUGCAGCUCUCUGCCACGGGAGAGAAGCCAGCUCUGGGAAGGCCUUCAAGGCUCCUCCACUGAUCACAACUCACUGUCUCAGGGGAAGGGGACACCAACUUCUCAGGAGAGAUUAUGCCUCUGCCCUCAAGGUCAUGAGAUGCAAAGCCACAUGCAGAAGAGAGAAGGGAUUGCCACAUGAUGUCGUGUCACUAGUUAAUUCAACCCCAAGUCUGCCUAUUCUCCAUCUCUAGAGGUCACCCUGACCCAAGGCCACCAAGCUCUCCCCACCUGGACUGCUGUCCCUACCUGGCCUUCCUACCACAGCUGUCAUCCUUCUGACCCAUUCUAACAAGCUUUGACCCAUUCUUGAGGCUGCAGCCACAGUCUAAUGGCAGUGACUCCUGCUUAAAGCCUCUAGCUGCAUUCUCAUUUUAGGAGAUCCUAUCUAGGUUUACCUUGGCCUCCAAAGCCCUGAAGGAUCUGGGCCCUGCAUCUGCCUGAGACCCCAUGUGUAGUGGGCACCCGCUGCCUUGGCCUCCCAUUCCCAACAUGCCAGCAGAUGGCUGCUGCGGCCACGGCCAUCCCCAGGCCCCAGGCAUGGCUCCAGUUCACCAGCCUCUUGCUCUGGGUUGCAGUACAGAUACACUCUGGCUACUGACACCUCUGCAGAAAACCUCCUGCAGGCCCUGGGGCACUGGCUGCAGGAGUGGCCUCAGCCUUCUUGCUUCUGCGACAGCUGCCAUGUGUGGGCUGUGCCCGCUGGACAGCCCCAGCUGAGCACACUCCUGGGGACUCCUGCUUCUAGUCUGCCUGGGGGAUUCCCCACUGGCCCUGAGCCAGGCCUUGAGGGGGCAAACCCAGACAAGCUCUGAAAAUCCUAUGGGAAAGCCACUACCAUUGCCUUACUCUAUUGGGAAAGUGGGCUGGCAAUGCAACGAGUCGCCCGUGUGUACAGAUGUGAUCUACGGUGAAGGUGAUAGCGGAGACUCCCAGGGACACAUGUCUGGCCACAGCAGACCCUGACCUGCAGCUCCAGGCCCUGGCAGGGGCCCUUCUGGGACUGGCUGUGGCCCCAGCUCGCCCCAGCACCCUGGAAGAGCAGACAAAGCUGGAGUCGGGUGAAGAACACUCACUUUGGGGCCGGGAGACUCUUGCCUUCUCUGACUUUCCCUUGGAGGUGUGGAGAACCAGCCGGUAUUUCUUUAAAAUGCAGCUGGGCCCUUGAACAUUCAGUGUCAUCUGGGACAGACUCUUUAUUUCUGGGCAAGGGAUAAGGCAAAGGUUUAAAGGCUCCUCGAGGCCAGCACUGCAGGGGUGGAAGGAGGAACAGUAGGGUCGGGGUGGGGUCUCGAAUGUCGGACCACCAAGGACCCUCUGCCUCCCACUCUGGCCUAGGCCUGCAUCAUGUCUUUGCUGCUUGCUCCCUCCAGGGCCACAGGUCCCAUCCUGGGUCCACUCUGAGUGAGGAUGGCAUUUUCCCCACACAAUCGUAAGCAGUAGAUGGUCCCCACAAACACCUAGAACAGGGCCUGGCACAGUCGGUUCAGCGAGGGUUCCCCUCCAGUCUCGGUGUGAACCAGGACAUCCUGGUCUACUGCUCAGACCCAGAAGCUUGGUUCCAGCCUCAGGUCAGGGCCAAAUCCAGGACUGCUUUUGCCCAGGUCAGUCAGCAUCCUGCCUUAGGCUGCAAGAGGGUUUUUACAAGAGGCUCACAUGCCCCUUGUGUUCUGAUUCAUUUAGUCUUCUCAAACACCUGGUGAAGCUGACCAUAUCCCCAUUUUACAGAUGGCAAAAUAAGACCAGGGAAGUUAACGUGCUCAAAAUCACAUCCGGGUAGUUUGUUAUCUGACAUCAGAGCCGUCUUCCCAUGGGGUCACGUGGCCUCUUUCUCCCCAGUUACAAGCUUCAAGUCACUGGCAAGAGACAUGUUAGAUCGGUUUAGAGGGGAGACACUGGCCUGCAUCUGUGUUUGCUAAGGGGUGGGACAGUGAAGGCCCAGGGGAGGGCAGAGCCCAAGGAGGGAAGGUGGUGAGCGCCUCCGGUCAGGGGCUGGCUCUUCCUUACCUUCUGAAUAGGACACCUUUGUGGGCCUCCUGUCUACCAGCUGGCCCACGUCAGCAGGGCUGCCGUUCACAAGCAGGAUGGCAUCCCAACCACUGGGACCCCAGACCCAGUUUUUCAGCAAAGAAGACAGGACAGUUGGUUCAGGAAGAAACCAGCUCUUGUCAUCUGACCUGCUAUAUCCCAACCAGAAUGUCCAGGCCACCGAAACAGACCUUAGCACCUGGACAGGUGUUCAGGGACCGGAUGCUAAAGGAAUGUUCUUGAAUGAGCAAGAGGGGAUAGGAUCUGGUGUGAGAAGAUGAACUGCAGACCAUCCACCUAGAGUGAACCCAUCCAGGAGCCCCCUGGGCAUCUGAUUACAGGAUGCUCCUUUAUCUCCCCUUGCUUCUGGAAAACUCCCCGCCCCAGGGCGGGGGCACCACUCACCAAAGCCAGUGAGGUUCUGCAAAUGAACCCCCAGUCCUGACACGCCUCAUCAAUGGUUCACACCCUCAGCAUCACAGUGGAGUCACCUGGAGCACUGUGAAUGAUGGGAGCAGGGUCUCCCAUCCCUUCCCUCAGGUUGGUUUAAUUGGUGAGGGGUAUGCCUGAGUAUUGAGUGUUAUGAAGCCCCUGUGCCUUUAAUCACACUGCACACAUGAUCUGCUUCCACCACAGCAUCACUGCCAACACCGAGCUCGUGAUGAGCCUAUUCUACCAGCUGGAAGUCAGCCUCCCCCUCGGCUGCCACAUGCACACUGUUAAGGAGACAGCAUGCCCAGGAGAAAGAGCAUGGACUCGGGCUCAAAUCCUGGAUC